rnacentral:rRNA from 1 species
AACGCGAAGAACCUUACCUGGGUUUGACAUCCCUCGACAGUCGUAGAAAUACGAUCUUUGUAGCAAUACAACGGGGAGACAGGUGCUGCAUGGCUGUCGUCAGCUCGUGUGGUGACAUGUUGGGUUAAGUCCCGCAACGAGCGCAACCCCUGUCCUUAGUUGCCAGCAUUCAGUUGGGCUCUCUAAGGAGACUGCCGUGGUUAACACGGAGGAAGGUGGGGAUGACGUCAAGUCCUCAUGGCCUUUAUAUCCAGGGCGACACACGUGAUACAAUGGAUGGUACAGAGAGACGCGAAAGGGCAACCUCUAGCAAAUCUCAAAAAGCCGUUCUCAGUUCGGAUUGGAGUCUGCAACUCGACUCCAUGAAGGUGGAAUCGCUAGUAAUCGCGGAUCAGCACGCCGCGGUGAAUAUGUUCCCGGGCCUUGUACACACCGGUACUA